GACGAACGCUGGCGGCGUGCUUAACACAUGCAAGUCGAACGGUGAACCGGGCUUCGGCCCGGGGAUCAGUGGCGAACGGGUGCGUAACACGUGGGCAACCUGCCCCAGACUCUGGGAUAACUCCGGGAAACCGGGCUAAUACCGGAUACUCCGAUCGGACGACAUCGUCUGACCGGGAAAGCUCCGACGGUCUGGGAUGGGCCCGCGGCCUAUCAGCUUGUUGGCGAGGUAACGGCUCACCAAGGCGACGACGGGUAGCUGGUCUGAGAGGACGACCAGCCACGCUGGAACUGAGAUACGGUCCAGACUCCUACGGGAGGCAGCAGUGGGGAAUCUUGCACAAUGGGCGAAAGCCUGAUGCAGCGACGCCGCGUGGGGAUGAAUGCCUUCGGUGUAAACCCUUUCGGCAGGGAAGAAGCGCAAGUGACGGUACCUGCAGAAGAAGU
rnacentral:rRNA from 1 species